UACGUAGGGGGCUAGCGUUGUCCGGAAUCAUUGGGCGUAAAGAGCGUGUAGGCGGUCCGGUAAGUCCGCUGUGAAAGUCGGGGGCUCAACCCUCGAAUGCCGGUGGAUACUGUCGGGCUAGAGUGCGGAAGAGGCGAGUGGAAUUCCGUGGUGUAGCGGUGAAAUGCGCAGAGUAUCAGGAGGAACACCUAUUGCGAAGGCAGCUCGCUGGGACGUAACUGACGCUGAGACGCGAAAGCGUGGGAGCAAACAGG
rnacentral:rRNA from 1 species